UCUAUAGGUAUUUGAAGAACUUGUGGCAUUUCGCCACAGUUUAAUUCUUCGUAUUGUUAGCCGACGCUGAGCAGUUUGUACAUAAUUGAACAAAUAGAGUUGCUUAAACAUUUGUUUAACAACAAGUAAAAGCUUGGAAUGGUCUAUACUUUCGAUUAGGGGGGGGGGGUCUGUGAGCCAGACUAGUUUAGAAGAAUUCCACUCCUCAUCAGUGACCCUGGACACCACCAUCAAUGAAAUAUCAGAUCAAACCAAGCUACAAGUUCAUCAAAUA